CGACUCGACUCUGUUGUCCUCUCCCCAGCACUCAGAACAGCGCUCUGCACACAGUACGCUCUCAGUAAAUACCGGAGACUGACGGAGGGCCAACGAAGAGGAAACCCGGGGAAGCCGCUGCGGGGAAGCUCACUGCUCUGCACAUAAGGACGGAGAGCGGAGAGGAGGUGAAGGAAACAGCGUGGCCUAAUGGAAAGAGCCUG
rnacentral:lncRNA from 1 species